rnacentral:rRNA from 1 species
CUUCCACAAUGGACGAAAGUCUGAUGGAGCAACGCCGCGUGAGCGAAGAAGGUUUUCGGAUCGUAAAGCUCUGUUGCGAGGGAAGAACAAGAACGGGAGUAACUGCCCGUACCUUGACGGUACCUCGUCAGAAUGCCACUGCUACCUACGUGCACGCAGCCGCGGUAAUCAGUAGGUGGCAAGCGUUGUCCGGAAUUAUUGGGCGUAAAGCGCGAGCAGGCGGUCCUUUAAGUCUGAUGUGAAAGCCCACGGCUCAACCGUGGAGGGUCAUUGGAAACUGGAGGACUUGAGUACAGAAGAGGAAAGCGGAAUUCCACGUGUAGCGGUGAAAUGCGUAGAGAUGUGGAGGAACACCAGUGGCGAAGGCGGCUUUCUGGUCUGUAACUGACGCUGAGGCGCGAAAGCGUGGGGAGCAAACA